CCUCCUGGUAAUAGGUAAAGAGACUCCUUGUUAGUGGUGGUGUUCUUAUAUCAGUCGGGGACAGAGCAGAUGGCAGUCCUUUGUUCAUCCUAGCUUGAUGCCUAGCUUGGUAGCCAAAGCUGUUUUACGCCUAGGACACAUAA